rnacentral:rRNA from 1 species
GACGAACGCUGGCGGCGUGCCUAAUACAUGCAAGUUGAGCGCUGAAGGUUGGUACUUGUACCAACUGGAUGAGCAGCGAACGGGUGAGUAACGCGUGGGGAAUCUGCCUUUGAGCGGGGGACAACAUUUGGAAACGAAUGCUAAUACCGCAUAAAAACUUUAAACACAAGUUUUAAGUUUGAAAGAUGCAAUUGCAUCACUCAAAGAUGAUCCCGCGUUGUAUUAGCUAGUUGGUGAGGUAAAGGCCCACCAAGGCGAUGAUACAUAGCCGACCUGAGAGGGUGGUCGGCCAAAUUGGGACUGAGAAACGGCCCAAACUCCUACGGGAGGCAGCAGGAGGGAAUCUUCGGCAAUGGACGAAAGUCUGACCGAGCAACGCCGCGUGAGUGAAGAAGGUUUUCGGAUCGUAAAACUCUGUUGGUAGAGAAGAACGUUGGUGAGAGUGGAAAGCUCAUCAAGUGACGGUAACUACCCAGAAAGGGACGGCUAACUACGUG